UCGAGGACCCGCGAGGACUGACGGCCUCAGAGGCCGCGGUGGCCGCCACGGAUGCUCUGCGCCCGCAGAGGGGGCCCUGGGAAAGAGGGGGCCCUGGGAAAGAGGGGGAGAGGCCAAGAGGCGCACUAACUUGACCAGCUGGGCGGGCAUUCGAGAUGGCCGUGGGCAGGGAGGAAGUAAAAGAGCCGGGCCUGGGAAGAGGUGAGACAGCUUGCCAGGGGGCUGCUUGAAGACGAGCAGUGACCUACAGUCAGGUUCUCCCAGGUGUCACCCCCCACCCCAGGGUGUUACCACUUCGGACAACCAGGAGGCAGUUGUUAAACACCCGCCCAUUUCGCAGACUCGAGCACUGGCGCAGACAGGGAAUUUCGUGCUAGAUAACACCUUGACCAAAGGAGUAGAGUUGAUGGAGCCAGGCUGCCCAGCGAGGAUGCUCUUCACGACUUCUGGCUGCAUGCUUGCUGCCUCAUCCGUGCUGAGUCUCUCCUGCCACUUGGCCAGCUCAGCUUCCUUAACUCAUGCUCAGGACAGACCAAGAUGGCUCCUUUACUACGAAAAUAUGACCUGAUCGUGUUCCAAAUCUUCUCCAGUACUUACGCAGUCGUAUGGUUCACCGGUAAAACUUGUCUGCCAAGGGGCAUACUCCAAAGCCAUGAAGCUCUGCAUAAUUUUUGGAAAGAUAAAAAUAUUUCCCCUUGUGUUAAAAAUGGUUCACAUGUACUGAUUUCAUUAUUGUCGCCAUCAUCAUCAUCAUACCAAUAAUUUGUAUAGAGAAUUAACU